CCAGCUCUCUUUGCCUUUUGGCUCUGAUCAAGUGCAGUAACUGUUCUUUUCAGAUUAGUCUUCUGAAAGCGCCCUACGGGGUUGCAUCAAAGAUUAACAAGUUUUUGGAAGCCGCCUGUGGGGCGCUGGGCUCCGCUUAUCUCCACAGGCACAGUGUCGCUCAUAUUGCACUGCCUUGAGCUGACGCGAACUUUC
rnacentral:snRNA from 1 species